CCCCCCCCCCUUACUUGAGACACUUGACUUUGCAAGAGACAGGCUGGGUUAUCAGUUUUGAACGAGGCAGCCUUAUUCCAAACCUCAUUUCUUUCUGUGGUCAAAACAUGAAUCCAAUUGCUGCCCCUGAAGAUGAGGGUCAGGCAAGAGAAAUUGAAGAGAAAAAAGAUCAAGCAUAAGGUCUUCAGUCUAUUUGCAAGAGAAAGAAACCUAAUGCUGCAUUUCUUACAGACAAGCAAUUCAAUCAAGAUCAAAAUGAAGAAAUGAUGUUUCAUCUAAUUAAAUCCUUGUUCUAUUGCCUUUGUUUGCCAUUGGAUGCCAAAAAAAACGAGAUGAAGAGCUCACCAGAAGAAGAUGGUUUCGAUAUCGUAUCCUUCCUAGCUGAAACUGACGAUGGCAGCAUUUUCUCCGAAAAAGAAGAAGGUUACAGAGAGGGCAUGUAUGAGACAUUGUUGCAACUCAUUGACGAGUAUGAUGCAGUCGUAGUUGCCGAGAUAUUUCGCCUUCUUCUUGACCGAUUGCCAUUCCAUUGUUCCAACCCAAUUCUAAGAAGCAUUAUUUAAGCCGUUUGAGACACAUAACAUUGCCUGGAAUUGACGGUAUCCGUUUAGAAGACAAGACGUUGAUGCGCAUCGCUGUUAUUUCCUGUCGUUAACAGAAGCAGAAUCAAACUACUGAGAUCAUUAAAAA